rnacentral:rRNA from 1 species
AUUGAACGCUGGCGGCAUGCUUUACACAUGCAAGUCGAACGGCAGCACGGGGGCAACCCUGGUGGCGAGUGGCGAACGGGUGAGUAAUACAUCGGAACGUGCCCAGUUGUGGGGGACAACCAGUCGAAAGACUGGCUAAUACCGCAUACGACCUAAGGGUGAAAGCGGGGGAUCGCAAGACCUCGCGCUAUUGGAGCGGCCGAUGUCCGAUUAGCUAGUUGGUGGGGUAAGAGCCUACCAAGGCGACGAUCGGUAGCUGGUCUGAGAGGACGACCAGCCACACUGGGACUGAGACACGGCCCAGACUCCUACGGGAGGCAGCAGUGGGGAAUUUUGGACAAUGGGCGAAAGCCUGAUCCAGCCAUGCCGCGUGCGGGAAGAAGGC